AGCUGCUAAGUGUCGUCCAUGCUUUACGGCUAGUAUUUGCACUUUCUUUUCGUUUUUGCGUUCUCACUCCAACCCUCAACUCUUCUACUGGAUAUUCUAUCUCACGUAUCUAUUUCUAGUUGUUGGCAUUUUCAGGAUUUUGAAGUAUCAUCUAUCAUAUCUGCCUCAUUCUUCGCAGCUUUCUCCUUUCGUGUGAUAUCCCAUUUUGUUUCCCCCAACGUAUCAUACAGACAAACCGCUACCAGCACCACGCACUUGGCAGUUUUUACGGUAUAUUUGUUUGCUGCUGUUAUCCAGCUAUGACCUCAUUUUAUCCUGCUCAGGGCUCAUAUAUCCUAUUUAUUGCUUGUUCCUUUUGCUCUUUUAUGCUUAUUUUCCUGUAUACCCACGGAUAUCAAUCUUACUCUGUGAUGGACACCUAUAUUUGUGAUAUUACGGCUGAGUGGGGACGGAAAGUACUCCAUCUGCUUCCGUCAAUUCAGAAAUAUCAUUUACCUUAUAAAGCCCCCGCCUUAUCUCAUCUCAGUAAUAGAACCCAACCAACAAAGAAACA
rnacentral:sRNA from 2 species